UCUAUUUUGUCAGAAUAUUGAAGUAAAUUUAGAAUUUAUUAAUGUAAUAUAUUUAUUACAAAUAGAA
rnacentral:tRNA from 2 species